UCCGGUUUGUCACCGGCAGUCCCAUUAGAGUGCCCAACUGAAUGUGGCAACUAAUGGCAAGGGUUGCGCUCGUUGCGGGACUUAACCCAACAUCUCACGACACGAGCUGACGACAGCCAUGCAGCACCUGUGUCCAGGUUCCCUUUCGGGCACACUCGCCUCUCAGCAAGCUUCCUGGCAUGUCAAGGGUAGGUAAGGUUCUUCGCGUUGCAUCGAAUUAAUCCACAUAAUCCACCGCUUGUGCGGGUCCCCGUCAAUUCCUUUGAGCUUUAAUCUUGCGACCGUACUCCCCAGGCGGAAUGCUUAAAGCGUUAGCUGCGCCACUGACGAGCAAGCUCGACAACGGCUAGCAUUCAUCGUUUACGGCGUGGACUAC
rnacentral:misc_RNA from 1 species